AUAAAAGCCCUUUUCAGGGCUAAAAAAAAUUUCAAAGAAGGAGUCU
rfam:Oikopleura dioica, whole genome shotgun assembly, reference scaffold set, scaffold scaffold_89